GUACACUACUGUGUUUCGGCUUCUCUGCGUGCUACCGCCGGGCCGGGCCGGCUCGCGCCGCUCCGCCGCCACCUGCCGCCGCCUCCGCGGGACGCGCCGACGUCACGAGCGGAGCGGAGCAGGGGAGGCCGCGCCACCGUGACGCCGCGGAUCGGGAGGAGCCACAACCGGCUCCGCCGCUGGAGGGGCGCGCUCGGGUGACGCCAUGGCGCCGCGCCGCCGCACCCCGCCUUCGUGGUGCCGCCAUGGCGACGGGGCCUGGAGCGCUCCCCCACCGCUGUUUUUGGGGGUUCGAUGUCCCCACCGAACGGAGAUUACAGGAAAAUAAAGCGCCCUGGAAAAAGUGUCCUUAGUAAUAAGUAAAUCCGCGCCUGUGUUCCAAAGUCUGACAAUUUAGUUCGACUGAGAAAAUGCAGUAGUGAACGCACGGUUUCAUUUUACGUUCCGUGAGGAGAUGGCUAAAGGCAAUAUCAGGUUGUGCCGUAGCUGGUAACCGAAGAAAGGUACCUACACUAACAUCGGCCCUCAUUGCCAGCUUUUAUUUCAGUCCGAACGCAUGUCGUGUGCACAUCUCUUUUCUGUGCUAGCUCACGUGGCGCCGGCACGUCUCCCCUUGUUCAGCAGUGGUUUCCUUAACGUGCAUUAGCUGUACCUGUCUAUUGCAACUGAAGGCAGCUCCGCUCUGUCUUUCUGCCUCUGCUUCCUUCACAGCUCCGUGCCCUCCUUUGUUUCUCUUUGUUACCGUCGCCUACAGUGUCAUCAAUCUGGAAUGCAUGUCUGAUGCUUGCCACUACAUUAUUAAUGUGCACAGUGGCUUGAAAAGUAAAGGUUCACCAGACUAGUCCUGAGAAGACACCUCCUCCCCUGGCAAGAGUCUGCACCCCUGCCAUUAAUAUUUUGCUGAUGGUUUGGCAAUUGAGAGCUAUUAAUCAUGUUUCAGUCUUUCUAUUUAUGAAGACUUUUCUUCUGCUUCUUUAGAUGUGUGUGAUACUAUGUAAACCUUUGCAGAUAUGCAGGUGUACUAUGAGCUCAACCCUUGCUGCAGGUGAUACAGCUGGGGAAAGAUAGGAGAAAACACUCUCCUGCUGUGGUUUGAGUCUGUAUCAAAACAGAUUUUGGAGAAGCUCCAAGCUUUUCCAGGCCACAGUAGCAGCAAAAGAGUGGGUGAUGUGUGAAUCACAGAAUCACACAACGGCUUGGGUUGGAACAGACCUCAAAGCCCACACAGUCCCAGCCCCCUGCCAUGGGCAGGGCUGCCACCCACCAGAUCAGGCUGCCCAAGGCCCCAUCCAACCUGGCCUUGAGCACCUCGAGGGGUGGGGCAUAAAUGGGAUAGGGCGUGGAAUCAUUCCCCCUUUUCCUCACACCUACAACUUCAACAACCUCUCUGUACAGAACAAGAAGCUGUGAAGCCACCAACGUGGCACUAGAGUGACAGGUGUGCC
rnacentral:lncRNA from 1 species